CUCUCCUUCUGCCAGCGGUCCGGCGGUUCCCAGUUCUGGCAAUCCAUCAUACAGCUCCUCCCAGUCCUCUGCAUUGGAUCUUCGAUUGCGGUUGGGUCUGCCACUGCCGUGCUAUUUUGGUUCGAUCGCUGGGCUGGGGACGCCCCCUUCGCGGCUUGUUUACCUGACAUGUUCUCCAUCGCGGUUGACCCGCGGAUUUUUGUCGCGACGGCCCUUAUUGACUUAGGGCAACUCGCAUUCCAGCGACAAUUUAGUCCAGCGCAGAAUGUGGCUUGGCAUGACUUGCUCGACUGCAUUGCGCUGCAUGUGCCUGAGAUAAAGAUGGGAGAUGACCGCACCAGGUGGCAGCUAGAGCCAUCUGGUCUAUUCUCUACUAAAUCACUCUACCAGGCGAUCGCCCCCCCUCCGGGUCCUGAGGCUCUUACCACCAUCUGGGAGAUCUGGCUCCCCUUGAAAAUUAGGAUAUUCCUGUGCAAUGGAUCCGUGGUUGCCUCCCUUCUGGAGUGGAAGUCCUAA
rnacentral:rRNA from 1 species